GCACCAAUGGUCAGUGAGUGUGGUGCACCUGUGUGAGGGAAGCACCUGACAUCAGGAGAAGCUGGUAUGUCACACACUGAGAGGCAGAAGACAGUCGGAUAUGCACACACUAAUGUUCACAUGACAGUCUGCAAAAGGGCAAAUUACUCAACAGAGACGGGGAAGAACAGCAGUUGACAGUGGGAGGAGUUAGAACGCAAUGCAGCAACAAGCCACAGCUGUUUUGUAAGAGCA
rnacentral:lncRNA from 1 species